GUAUGCAAUCAUACCGGUACUAAUACAUUUCAAUAUAAUCAAAACUUUGUAGUUAAACGUAUUUAGGUAAGAGUGAUACCAAGUUGAGUGAACACUUGAAAAGUCAUCGUGUUGCACCCU
rnacentral:rRNA from 1 species